AGCUUCAUGGUUGAGUCAUAUGGUAAUUUGACUUUCUGAGGAACUGCCAAACUCUUUUCCACAGAAGCUACACCACUGUACACUCCCAUCAGCAAU
rnacentral:pre_miRNA from 1 species